GAAGAUUUAGUUAAUUAAUAACAUUAGAUUGUCAAACUAAAAUUAUCUUCAAGAUAUUCUUCU
rnacentral:tRNA from 1 species